AUCCAGAUGUCGAGUCCCAAAUUGGACGAAAUGCGCAUCCUGAAC
rfam:Trichobilharzia regenti genome assembly, scaffold: TRE_contig0013281